UAUCAAGGAAGGAAAAAAAUCUUUCCAGGAAACUUUACAUCUCAAAGGCCAGAACUGGGUCACAUGGCCAUUCCUAAAAACAGCGAGUCUGGGAAAUGAAAAACAGGAAUUCCUGACGCUCUUAUGCCAUCUGACGAAGGGAUAUGUUCACCUAGUACCAGUGUCUCACAUCAAAGAUUAUCUCCAUUUGGAAUUACAGAAAUCUCCCCUGAGGU